ACGGAAGGCAGCAGUGGGGAAUAUUGGGCAAUGGGCGAAAGCCUGACCCAGCGACGUCGCGUGAAGGAAGAGGGCCCUCGGGUUGUAAACUUCAGUCAACAGGGAAGAAACAAAUGACGGUACCUGUGGAGGAAGCCACGGCUAACUACGAGCCAGCAGCCGCGGUAAUACGUAGGUGGCGAGCGUUAUCCGGAUUUACUGGGUGUAAAGGGUGUGUAGGCGGGUGUGCAAGUCAGAUGUGAAAAUUAUGGGCUUAACUCAUAACUUGCAUUUGAAACUGUACAUCUUGAGUGUCGGAGAGGUAAAUGGGAUUCCCAGUGUAGCGGUGAAAUGCGUAGAUAUUGGGAGGAACACCAGUGGCGAAGGCGAUUUACUGAACGAUUACUGACGCUGAGACACGAAAGUGUGGGUAGCAAACAGGAUUAGAUACCCUGGUA
rnacentral:rRNA from 1 species